rnacentral:rRNA from 1 species
CUUGGCAGUUAUGGCGAAUGUGACACACGCGAUCCCAUUCCGAACUCGACAGUGAAACCAUUCUGCGCCGAUGAUACUUCUGCUGAAGCAGGAGGGAAAGUAGGACGCUGCCAGGC